rnacentral:rRNA from 1 species
ACGCUGGCGGCGUGCCUAACACAUGCAAGUCGAACGGGAUGCGUAUCGGAAAGCUUCGGCCGGAAGAUACGUUAUCUAGUGGCGGACGGGUGAGUAACACGUGGGUAACCUGCCUUAUGGAGGGGGAUAACAGAGAGAAAUCACUGCUAAUACCGCAUAAGCACGCAGUACCGCAUGGUAGAGUGUGAAAAGAUUUAUCGCCAUAAGAUGGACCCGCGUCUGAUUAGCCAGUUGGCAGGGUAAAAGCCUACCAAAGCGACGAUCAGUAGCCGAUCUGAGAGGAUGACCGGCCACAUUGGGACUGAGACACGGCCCAAACUCCUACGGGAGGCAGCAGUGGGGAAUAUUGCACAAUGGGGGAAACCCUGAUGCAGCGACGCCGCGUGAGUGAAGAAGUAUUUCGGUAUGUAAAGCUCCAUCAGCAGGGAAGAUAAUGACAGUACCUGACUAAGAAGCCCCGGCUAACUACGUGCCAGCAGCCGCGGUAAUACGUAGGGGGCAAGCGUUAUCCGGAUUUACUGGGUGUAAAGGGAGCGUAGACGGAGUGGCAAGUCUGAGGUGAAAACCCUGGGCUCAACCCUGGGACUGCUUUGGAAACUGUUAAUCUAGAGUGUUGGAGAGGUAAGUGGAAUUCCUGGUGUAGCGGUGAAAUGCGUAGAUAUCAGGAAGAACACCGGAGGCGAAGGCGGCUUACUGGACAAUAACUGACGUUGAGGCUCGAAAGCGUGGGGAUCAAACAGGAUUAGAUACCCUGGUAGUCCACGCUGUAAACGAUGAAUACUAGGUGUCGGGGAGCAAAGCUUCUCGGUGCCGUCGCAAACGCAAUAAGUAUUCCACCUGGGGAGUACGUUCGCAAGAAUGAAACUCAAAGGAAUUGACGGGGACCCGCACAAGCGGUGGAG